GAUGAACGCUGGCGGCGUGCCUAAUACAUGCAAGUCGAGCGAACGGACGAGAAGCUUGCUUCUCUGAUGUUAGCGGCGGACGGGUGAGUAACACGUGGAUAACCUACCUAUAAGACUGGGAUAACUUCGGGAAACCGGAGCUAAUACCGGAUGAUAUUUUGAACCGCAUGGUUCAAAAGUGAAAGACGGUCUUGCUGUCACCUAUAGAUGGAUCCGCGCUGCAUUAGCUAGUUGGUAAGGUAACGGCUUACCAAGGCAACGAUGCAUAGCCGACCUGAGAGGGUGAACGGGCACACUGGGACUGAGACGCGGUCCAGACUCCGACGGGAGGCAGCAGUAGCGAAGCGUCCGCGAUGGGCGAAAGCCUGACGGAGCAGCGCCGCGUGAGUGAUGAAGGUCUUCGGAUCGUAAAACUCUGUUAUUAGGGAAGAACAUAUGUGUAAGUAACUGUGCACAUCUUGACGGUACCUAAUCAGAAAGCCACGGCUAACUACGUG
rnacentral:rRNA from 1 species